AACGAACGCUGGCGGCGUGGAUAAGACAUGCAAGUCGAACGGGACAGGUAGCAAUAUCUGUCUAGUGGCGAACGGGUGCGUAACACGUGGGCAACAUGCCUGGAAGAGCGGGAUAGCCCGGGGAAACUCGGAUUAAUACCGCAUGUGACAACGGGGCGGCUUCGCCCUGUUUUCAAAGGUGGGGACCGCAAGGCCUGCCGCUUCCAGAUUGGCCCGCGUCCUAUCAGCUAGUUGGCGGGGGAAAAGCCCACCAAGGCGACGACGGGUAGCUGGUCUGAGAGGACGACCAGCCACACUGGAACUGAGACACGGUCCAGACACCUACGGGUGGCAGCAGUCGAGAAUCUUUCACAAUGGGGGAAACCCUGAUGGAGCGACGCCGCGUGGAGGAUGAAGGUCUUCGGAUUGUAAACUCCUGUCAUGAAAGAACAAGCGAUGCGGGUGAACAGCCCGCAAAGUUGAUAGUAUUUCAAGAGGAAGGGACGGCUAACUUCGUGCCAGCAGCCGCGGUAAAAC
rnacentral:rRNA from 1 species